CAAGUUAACAUUAGAUGCGAGUGAAAGCGUAGAUAAACCAAUCGUUAAAAUAACGAAUAGUGUCUAAAGUUAGACCCGAAGCCUGGUGAUUUUACCACAAUCAGGAUUAUAAAAGUCCGAACGGGUUAUUGUUGUAAAGAUAUCCGAAGAAUUAUGGUAGGUAGUAAAAGAUAACACUAACUAGGAUAGCUGGUUUUCUGCAAAACCUAUAACAGUAGGUAAUUUAAGUACAUCUUAGCAGGUACAGAAUUUAAUCUUAGACAAGAUGUUUUCAUUUUAGUUCUUAAACUAAAAUAACAUAUUGAUUUGUAUAUAUUGGGGGAUCGUGAAGAUUUUAUUGGUGAGUAUGUAGACUCGGAAUGGCAAAGAUAGAUCUUAAAUUAUCAAACAUAGAAUGAUAAGGUUGUAUGUCAAAAGGGAAACAGCCCAGAACAAGAGUUAAGGUUCCAAACUAAUCCCUUAGGAUUAAAAUACAAGUACCUAUAAGGUAUAUAAGACUCGAACUCAUAUUUUAGUAAGUUGUUAUGCUUUUCUUUACGUUAAGAUAAUACCUUAGGUCUAGUUAGUUUAUUACUAACUAGACAACUCUUUCAGAGAUUG
rnacentral:ncRNA from 1 species